rnacentral:lncRNA from 1 species
AUACAGAGGGUACAAAUGGUAUUGUAAGUUGGUAAUCAGUUUCCUCUUUCCUAUGAUUUAUUUUGUAGGGAUCCUUUUCCACUAGUUGUUGUUACGGAAGUGCGGAUUGAGUAAUUACCAAUAUUAUGGUGAUUGUGAAUUCUGAAGAAAUAUAAAUGUAAAAAAUAAAACAUAAUAAUUUACAUGGUUUAGCGUAAAGCUUAGGCCCACUGACAAAGAAUGGAAGAUAAUUUUUCUAACAAAUGAGAAUUUAUAAAAUUGGAAAAAACUCUCAAAACCCAAAGCUCAAUACACCUAAAUGAAUCCUUACUAGAGCACUCAAGUAGAAGCUCUUUGAAAUCUCUCAAAUUAUUUCACUUGCAAUUGCUCUCAAC